ACAUUGGGACUGAGACACGGCCCAAACUCCUACGGGAGGCAGCAGUGGGGAAUAUUGGACAAUGGGCGAAAGCCUGAUCCAGCAAUGCCGCGUGUGUGAAGAAGGUCUUCGGAUUGUAAAGCCCUUUCGGCGGGGACGAUGAUGACGGUACCCGCAGAAGAAGCCCCGGCUAACUUCGUGCCAGCAGCCGCGGUAAUACGAAGGGGGCUAGCGUUGCUCGGAAUGACUGGGCGUAAAGGGCGCGUAGGCGGUUUGGACAGUUGGGCGUGAAAUUCCUGGGCUUAACCUGGGGGCUGCGUUCAAUACGUUUGGACUUGAGUUCGGAAGAGGGUCGUGGAAUUCCCAGUGUAGAGGUGAAAUUCGUAGAUAUUGGGAAGAACACCGGUGGCGAAGGCGGCGACCUGGUCCGAUACUGACGCUGAGGCGCGAAAGCGUGGGGAGCAAACAGGAUUAGAUACCCUGGUAGUCCACGCUGUAAACGAUGUGUGCUGGAUGUUGGGCGACCUAGUCGCUCAGUGUCGUAGCUAACGCGAUAAGCACACCGCCUGGGGAGUACGGCCGCAAGGUUGAA
rnacentral:rRNA from 1 species